GGAAAUUUUAAGACUUUGGCAUUGUCAUGUGAACAUUUAACAUAUCAAAAGGAAAAAGGGAAUGAUUGGAUAACAAUUGUUGUGAAUGUUGCCUUUAGGUCUUGUAACAGAAAAUAACACCAAAAAAUAUUACAACUGCAAUGCCUCAAUUUUUGAACAAAACAUUUAUGAUGACAACCAACAACUUCUAUUGGUCUCGUUAAGUAUCUCAAAUCUAGAGAAUCUCUCUUGUUGUCUACAACAUUGUUUGCCACAACUAACAAAGUAGAAAAAAAAGUAAAAAGUAAUAUCGAGUCACAUAUUCCUCCCUUGGUCUCCAUCAAGGAAGACAAACCAAAAUUGCUACAACAAAAUAUAUUUUAUAUGGAAAUGAAGUAAAGCAGAAACUGGUAAUGACACCAAACCCGAAUAAAGUCAACUAAACGCUAACGACAGCCAAGUACCAUUUUGCUGGGUAACUUUUUUUUUUUUUGGUUACUAGAAUAGUUGACAAAAGGCCAAAGUUUAUGUAAUUUGUAUGGUUUUUCUUUUGGUAGAAGAAACAAAUAUUCGAAAUAAAAAUAGAAAAUUGA